AGCGGCGAACGGGUGAGGAAUACUUGGGUAAUCUGCCCUUAAGUUCGGAAUAGCUUCGGGAAACUGGAGGUAAUGCCGGAUGUGAUCGAGUAUCAUAAGGUACUCUGUUUAAAGAGGGGGAUCUUCGGACCUCUUGCUUAAGGAUGGGCCCGAGUCCUAUCAGCUUGUUGGUGAGGUAAUGGCUCACCAAGGCUAAGACGGGUAGCUGGUCUGAGAGGAUGGUCAGCCACACUGGGACUGAGACACUGCCCGGACUCCUACGGGAGGCUGCAGUCGAGAAUCAUUCACAAUGCACGAAAGUGUGAUGAUGCGACGCCGCGUGAAGGAUGAAGGCCUUCGGGUUGUAAACUUCUGUCAGAAGGAAAGAACGGCUUCGGAGUUAAUAUCUUCGUUGUUUGACGGUACCUUCAGAGGAAGCCACGGCUAACUCUGUGCCAGCAGCCGCGGUAAUACAGAGGUGGCAAGCGUUGUUCGGAUUUACUGGGCGUAAAGGGUGCGUAGGCNGUUUUGUAUGUCANAUGUGAAAGCCCAUGGCUCAACCAUGGAAUUGCAUUUGAAACUGCAAACUCGAGUAUCGGANAGGUA
rnacentral:rRNA from 1 species